rnacentral:rRNA from 1 species
GAGAGUUUGAUCCUGGCUCAGAAUGAACGCUGGCGGCGUGCUUAACACAUGCAAGUCGAACGAUGAAGCCUAGCUUGCUAGGUGGAUUAGUGGCGCACGGGUGAGUAAUAUAUAGAUAACGUGCCUCUUAGUCUGGGAUAGCCAUUGGAAACGAUGAUUAAUACUAGAUACUCCUUCUCCUUAUAAUUGGAGUUGGGAAAGUUUUUCGCUAAGAGAUCGGUCUAUAUCCCAUCAGCUUGUUGGUAGUGUAAGAGACUACCAAGGCUAUGACGGGUAGCGGGUUUGAGAGGAUGAUCCGCCACACUGGUACUGAGACACGGACCAGACUCCUACGGGAGGCAGCAGUGAGGAAUAUUGCACAAUGGAGGAAACUCUGAUGCAGCAACGCCGCGUGGAGGAUGACGCAUUUCGGUGUGUAAACUCCUUUUAUAAGGGAAGAAAAUGACGGUACCUUAUGAAUAAGCACCGGCUAACUCCGUGCCAGCAGCCGCGGUAAUACGGGGGGUGCAAGCGUUAUUCGGAAUUAUUGGGCGUAAAGGGCGCGUAGGCGGUCUUGUCGGUCAGAUGUGAAAGCCCAGGGCUCAACCCUGGACGUGCAUUUGAAACAGCAAGACUUGAAUACUGGAGAGGAGAGCGGAAUUCCUGGUGUAGAGGUGAAAUUCGUAGAUAUCAGGAGGAACACCGAUGGCGAAGGCAGCUCUCUGGACAGAUAUUGACGCUGAGGCGCGAAGGCGUGGGUAGCGAACAGGAUUAGAUACCCUGGUAGUCCACGCAGUAAACGAUGUACACUAGGUGUAGCGGAUAUUAAAAUCUGCUGUGCCCAAAGCUAACGCAUUAAGGGAACCGCCUGGGGAGUACGGUCGCAAGACUAAAACUCAAAGGAAUUGACUGGGGCCCGCACAAGCGGUGGAGCAUGUGGUUUAAUUCGACAACGCGAAGAGAACCUUACCUGGACUUGACAUAGAAAGAAUUUAGCAGAGAUGUAAAAGUGCUGGUUUACCAGAGCUUUCAUACAGGUGCUGCACGGCUGUCGUCAGCUCGUGUCGUGAGAUGUUGGGUUAAGUCCCGCAACGAGCGCAACCCUCGUGUUUAGUUGCUAACAGUUAGGCUGAGAACUCUAAACAGACUGCCUGGGUAACCAGGAGGAAGGUGAGGACGACGUCAAGUCAUCAUGGCCCUUAUGUCCAGGGCUACACACGUGCUACAAUGGGGUAUACAAAGAGCAGCAAUACGGUGACGUGCAGCAAAUCUCAAAAAUAUCCUCCCAGUUCGGAUAGCAGUCUGCAACUCGACUGCUUGAAGUUGGAAUCGCUAGUAAUCGUAGAUCAGCAAUGCUACGGUGAAUACGUUCCCGGGUCUUGUACUCACCGCCCGUCACACCAUGGGAGUUGAUUUCAUUCGAAGCGGGGAUGCUAAGAUAGCUACCCUCCACAGUGGAAUUAGCGACCUAGGGUGAAGUCGUAAGCAAGGUAACC